rnacentral:rRNA from 1 species
UACGAAGGGUGCAAACGUUGCUCGGAAUUAUUGGGCGUAAAGCGCACGUAGGCGGCUUGGCAAGUCGGAUGUGAAAUCCCUCGGCUCAACCAAGGAAGUGCAUCCGAAACUGCUGAGCUUGAGUACUUAAGAGGAUCGCGGAAUUCCCGGUGUAGAGGUGAAAUUCGUAGAUAUCGGGAGGAACACCGAUGGCGAAGGCAGGUCUCUGGGCCACUACUGACGCUGAGAAGCGAAAGCGUGGGGAGCGAACAGG